rnacentral:rRNA from 1 species
GACGUAGGGCGCGAGCGUUGUCCGGAUUUAUUGGGCGUAAAGAGCUCGUAGGCGGCUUGUCGCGUCGGAUGUGAAAGCCCGGGGCUUAACUCCGGGCUGCAUUCGAUACGGGCAGGCUAGAGUUCGGUAGGGGAGAUCGGAAUUCCUGGUGUAGCGGUGAAAUGCGCGAUAUCAGGAGGAACACCGGUGGCGAAGGCGGGUCUCUGGGCAACAACUGACGCUGAGGAGCGAAAGCGUGGGGAGCGAACAGG